rnacentral:rRNA from 1 species
AUUGAACGCUGGCGGCAGGCCUAACACAUGCAAGUCGAGCGAGCGGCGGACGGGUGAGUAAUGUCUGGGAAACUGCCUGUUGGAGGGGGAUAACUACUGGAAACGGUAGCUAAUACCGCAUACCAUCAGAUUUGCCCAGAUGGGAUUAGCUAGUAGGUGGGGUAAUGGCUCACCUAGGCGACGAUCCCUAGCUGGUCUGAGAGGAUGACCAGCCACCCUGGAACUGAGACACGGCCCAGAAUCCUACGUGAGGCAGCCGUGGGGAAUAGUGCACAAUGGGCGCAAGCCUGAUGCAGCCAUGCCGCGUGUGUGAAGAAGGCGCUCGGGUUGUAAAGCACUUUCAGGGGGGAGGCGUUACCCGCAGAAGAAGCACCGGCUAACUACGUGCCAGCAGCCGCGGUAAUUC